rnacentral:rRNA from 1 species
AACGAACGCUGGCGGCAGGCCUAACACAUGCAAGUCGAGCGAGGUAGCAAUACCUAGCGGCGGACGGGUGAGUAACGCGUGGGAACGUACCCUUUGCUACGGAAUAGCCCCGGGAAACUGGGAGUAAUACCGUAUGUGCCCUUCGGGGGAAAGAUUUAUCGGCAAAGGAUCGGCCCGCGUUGGAUUAGGUAGUUGGUAGGGUAAAGGCCUACCAAGGCCACGAUCGGUAGCUGGUCUGAGAGGAUGAUCAGCCACACUGGGACUGAGACACGGCCCAGACUCCUACGGGAGGCAGCAGUGGGGAAUAUUGGACAAUGGGCGCAAGCCUGAUCCAGCAAUGCCGCGUGUGUGAAGAAGGCCUGCGGGUUGUAAAGCUCUUUCGGCAGGAACGAAACGGUGGUCCCUAAUACGGAUUGCUAAUGACGGUACCUGAAGAAGAAGCACCGGCUAACUACGUG